rnacentral:lncRNA from 1 species
AUAGAAUACAACAAUAUCGUACAAGACAUUGCCACAUAGCUUUUAGUUAGAUAGUAUAUAUAGAGGCAAGAAUAAAGUCCUCUUCACUCUUGUCAAUGCCUUUCUCGUCCUUAGUCUUCUUUCAAGAAUCUUUAGUUUUCUUUAACAACAGCCAUCUUAGUUUAAUAUUAUACCGUCUUUGGAUAAUUAUCUAUUCUUUUCAAGUAAUGCAAGAGUAUAAUAAACUUUUGGUUCUUUGUGAUAUAUAUAUCUUCAAUCUUUGCAUAAGAUAUAAAACAUGUAUAGUCCUCAAGAUCAAGUUCUUCACAUAUGUACAAAAAGCAAGAAAUAUUGACAACAAAUAGUAUAAGAACAAUGCAAACUAUAACAUCUGAUAUAAGCUUUUUAUCUUAGUAUUCUAACUUAUGCAUCAAACCAAGCAAAUUGCUCAAAUCUUACAAAACCAUCCUUAAGUAUUGUAUUGGACCUUGUGUUUUUUAGUGCAACAUGAGCAACCAUGGUUUUCAAGAAUGAAGAAGUUUGAAAUGCCAUUGUUGAUUGACAUAACUUCACAUAUGACAAGAAGAAACUA